rnacentral:misc_RNA from 1 species
GAUGAAGAACGUAGCGAAAUGCGAUAAGUAAUGUGAAUUGCAGAAUUCAGUGAAUCAUCGAAUCUUUGAACGCACAUUGCGCCCGCCAGUAUUCUGGCGAGCAUGCCUGUUCGAGCGUCAUUUCAACCAUCAAGCCCCAGGCUUGUGUUGGAGCCCUGCGGCUGCCGCAGCCUCCCAAAACCAGUGGCGGGCUCGCUAUCACACCGAGUGCAGUAGUUUACUCUUCGCUCAGGGCGUGUGGCGGGUGCUAGCCGUGAAACCCCCAACUUCUCAAGGUUGACCUCGGAUCAGGUAGGAAUACCCGCUGAACUUAAGCAUAUCAAUAAGCUGAGGA